ensembl:lncRNA
GGAAAGGCUAAUCCACAAAAACGGAGAAACGUCCAUAAUUCCAUUAUUCAUAAUCAUGUCAAGGUUUUAGGUUUUUCUGCAGUUCCAUCUCUAAAAAGUGUGAUGUCUUCCCGUCACUGAUUUCAGUUUGAAAACUUUGUAUUUAUUCACAGAUUUCUGUGAGAUCAUCCUAAAAUUUGUAACGAAAAAUGGGCUCAAAAGAGCCCUCUGCCUAACGGCAUGUAGCCUAUAGCAUAACGUGAUAUUUUCAGUAGUGUAUGCAAAAAGGUCGGAAUUGAUGGAGAGUAGGGUUGCCUAAAUGGUUUAGGUUACAUUUUAAAUGUGUCGUUUUUUUGUUUAUACAUAUGGAUGGAUGGAGGGGGCAAGCUGGCAAAGUUUGUCAUGUGCAGUUUCUGACAGGCUACUUCACAACAAAACAAUUGCAGGUUGGUCUUAGAGGGCAAACAGAAUAAUUUCACUCGAUUCAUGGGUUACCUGACUGGUUGGGAAGGGAAAGAGCUGCCGUGUUGUCCGCCGUGGUUCCCAGUCGCUAUAGUUAGCCUACUAUGCCUACUCCAAGUAGUCCUAUGUCAUGCCGCUGCUACACGCCUCACAACAAAUGAACUGCAAGCGUGUUCACGUGACACGGUGACAGUGAAAAAGCGACAGGGUUCGGGUGUCUUUGAAGAAGGGGCACAAAUCAAGCCAUUAUUUUCACACCUUUUUAAAUCGCGCAGCUUUAAAAAAAUAAUAAUAAUCACGUCUUUCAAAAGGGCACUUUUUUGGACUGAAGGCAAAAGGGCAAGUGCUUCAGCACCACCUCGUCUCUAUCUGUGCAUGCCAGUGGCAGUGUGUCCCUCAGUCUGUCCUCACUCUGGACACUUUUUUGUUUUUGCAAGUGUUUUUGUUUUUGCAGGUGUUUUUCUUUGGCAGGUGUUUUUGUUUUUGCAGCAAUUUUCUUUUUGCAGGUUUUUUUCUUUUGCAGGUGUUUUUGUUUUUGCAGCAUUUUUCUUUUUGCAGGUGUUUUUGUUUUUGCAAGUGUUUUUCUUUUUGCAGGUGUUUUUCUUUUGCAGGUGUUUUUGUUUUUGCAGGUGUUUUUCUUUUUGCAGGUGUUUUUCUUUUGCAGGGGUUUUUGUUUUUGCAGGUGUUUUUCUUUUGCAGGUGUUUUUGUUUUUGCAGCAUUUUUGUUUUUGCAGGUGUUUUUCUUUUGCAGGUGUUUUUGUUUUUGCAGCAUUUUUGUUUUUGCAGGUGUUUUUCUUUUGCAGGUGUUUUUGUUUUUGCAGCAUUUUUCUUUUGCAGGGGUUUUUCUUUUUGCAAGUGUUUUUCUUUUGCAGGUGUUUUUCUUUUUGCAGGUGUUUUUCUUUUGCAGGUGUUGUUCUUUUUGCAGGUGUUUUUCUUUUGCAGGUGUUUUUGUUUUUGCAGCAUUUUUCUUUUUGCAAGUGUUUUCUGAAGUUGCAGUCCGUUUGGCCUCUCAGUGCCACCGUAACAGGUGGAAUCAGGACCACAUUAAGACCUAAUCACCUUCUCUCUCUGUCACACACACACACACACACACACACACACACACACACACACACACAUUUGCUGUAACACAAAAAGAGAGAGAGUAUUUAAAUGUAAAGUCUGAACAUUAGUCACUCUGUCUUCGGUGUGUGUUAGGAGGGUAAAAGUCCAGCUGGCUUAUUUUCCUACCUGGACUCCAUGGUAACGUUGUCAUAAAAGCACGUCAAUAAUUAAUAUGGACUUUUGCGUGUGCGUGCUUUCAAAG